GGGGAUUAGAAUGAAAAUGAGAUGGUAAAUCAGUUUGCUUCAUGGGGAUUUAAACAGCAUUCUGAGGAAGGGAUAAGCCACAGGAUAAAAGGAACUACAGCUACCCCUCCACACUGCACUGUUUGCAGAUCUCUGGCCUGUUAUUAAAGAGAGACAACGAAACUUCUAUCCCAUUUAAGCCACUGCUUUUGGACUUCUAUAUCCAAGCAGCUUAGCUUGUAUCCUCAAUGAGCCACAGUCUCCAUUAUGAUGAUACACAGUGGUGUGGAUAGCCUCUCAGAUGGUCCCCAAUGAUCCUGCCUCGUGGUAUAUGUACCUUUGUAUAAUCCCAUUCUCUUGAAUGUGGGUUUGUCUGGUGACUCUCUUCUACCAACAGAUUGUGGCAAAGAUGGAUGAUGGGAUGUCACUUCACUGAUUAAGUGCCAAAAGGUUGCAAUCUCCUCUUGCUAACAGACUCUCUGCCUUGCUGGCUUUGAUGAUGCAAUUUGCCAUGUUGGAGCUGCCUAUGUGGCAUGAAACUGAAGCAGGCCUCCAGCCAACAGCCAGCAAGAAACUGAGACCCUCAGUCCAACAGUCCACAGGGAUCUCAAUCUUGCCAACCACCAUGUGAGCCUGGAAAUAGAUCCUUGCCCAGUUGAACCUUAAGAUCACUACAUCGCAGCUGACACCUUGACUGCAAGUCUGUAAGAGACCCUGAAGUGCAGGAACUUGCUAAGCCUGCCCAGACUCUUGACCCACGGAAACUGUGAGACAAUACAUGUGGGUUGUUUUAAGUUUGGGGGGUCUCGCUCUGUUACCCAGACUGGAGUGCAGUGGCGCGAUCACAGCUCACUGCAACCUCAACCUCACGAGCUCAAGCAAUCCUUCCAUCUCAGCGUCCUGAGUAGCUGGGACUACAGGUACACACCACCAUGUCCAGAAAACUGUCAUGUCAAAGAGGCCUGCAUGGUAAGGAAUGGUAAGGAGAGCCAACAAGGAAAUGAAUCCUGCCAACAACCUCAUCAGCUUGGAAGCAGAUUCUUCCCCAGUUGAGCCUUCAUACAAGACCCCAGAUCUGGCAGACACUUUGAUUGCAGUCUUAGGAGACAUCCUGAAGCGGAGGACCCAGACAGGCUGUGCUUGGAUCUCAGUCCACAGAAACUGUGAGAUAAUAACUGUGUGUUGUUAAAAGCCACUAGCCUUAUGGUUAUUUGUUACACAGUAAUAGGUAACAAAUAUACCUCCCUAACUUGAAUUGUAAGUCAGAGUGUAAGUAUUAAUCCUGAAAAAUUUGCAGUCUUUAUAAAGAAUGUUCACGAAGCCAGGGGCUUCCAAGUAAAAUCUGAAUUACUGGUAAAAUAUUU
rnacentral:lncRNA from 1 species